AUUGAACGCUGGCGGCAGGCCUAACACAUGCAAGUCGAACGAGUGGCGGACGGGUGAGUAAUGUCUGGGAAACUGCCUGAUGGAGGGGGAUAACUACUGGAAACGGUAGCUAAUACCGCAUACCAUCGGAUGUGCCCAGAUGGGAUUGGCUAGUAGGUGGGGUAAAGGCUAACCUAGGCCACGAUCCCUAGCUGGUCUGAGAGGAAGACCAGCAACACUGGAACUGAGACACGGUCCAGACUCCUACGGGAGGAAGCAGUGGGUAAUAUUGCACAGUGGGCGCAAUCCUGAGGCAGCCAUGCCGCGUGUAUGAAGAAGGCCGUCGGGUUGUAAAGUACUUUCAGCGGGGAGGCGUUACCCGCAGAAGAAGCACCGGCUAACUCCGUGCCAGCAGCCGCGGUAAUUC
rnacentral:rRNA from 1 species